UACAGAGGUCUCAAGCGUUGUUCGGAUUCAUUGGGCGUAAAGGGUGCGUAGGUGGCGCCGUAAGUCAGGUGUGAAAUUUCGGAGCUUAACUCCGAAACUGCAUUUGAUACUGCGGUGCUUGAGGACUGGAGAGGAGACUGGAAUCACGGUGUAGCAGUGAAAUGCGUAGAUAUCGUGAGGAAGACCAGUGGCGAAGGCGGGUCUCUGGACAGUUCCUGACACUGAGGCACGAAGGCCAGGGGAGCAAACGGG
rnacentral:rRNA from 1 species